GAUGAAGAACGCAGUGAAAUGCGAUAAGUAAUGUGAAUUGCAGAAUUCAGUGAAUCAUCGAGUCUUUGAACGCACAUUGCGCCCCCUGGUAUUCCGGGGGGCAUGCCUGUCCGAGCGUCAUUGCUGCCCUCAAGCACGGCUUGUGUGUUGGGCCCCCGUCCCCGGUUUCCCCCGGGGACGGGCCCGAAAGGCAGCGGCGGCACCGCGUCCGGUCCUCGAGCGUAUGGGGCUUUGUCUCCCGCUCUGUAGGCCCGGCCGGCGCCAGCCGACACCCAACUUUAUUUCUAAGGUUGACCUCGGAUCAGGUAGGGAUACCCGCUGAACUUAAGCAUAUCAAUAAGCGGAGGA
rnacentral:misc_RNA from 1 species